AAUCAUUAAAAUGAAAAUAAAAUAAAAUAAAAUAACUUGUAGGCCCUCCCUCUUUUAGCUUUCCACUUCUAGGCCUUUUAUUUCAUGUACUCCAUUGUUAAUUGUCUUUUUGAUGGAGAUAAAAUUGGAUUCAGUUCGUAUGGAAAAUGCUCGUAGACGAUGUGGUUUUCUGUAUGGUAUUGAGGUUGGGGCAGAUGGCAUACGGGGGGGACUCAGUUUAGGUUUCUAUGGGUCUCCGGAUGCGCGGUUUCGAUCGGAUGCUUGGAACUUCUUGAGAACUUUGGGGCAGGAUCAAAGACUUCCUUGGUUUGUCUGUGGGGAUUUUAAUGAAAUCUUUUAUCUUAUGAGAAGAGAAGCGAGAUGGUUAGAGAGGAACUCCGUAUGGAAAAAUUGCAAAAUGUUCUGUCAAACUGCUUUUUAGAGGAUCUAGGUUAUGAUGGUCCGUGGUUCACUUGGGAAUGGGGUAAUAUGGUUGGCAAUAAUAUUCAUGAACGGCUUGACCGGGGGGUUGCUACUUCAGCUUGGUAGGACCAGUUUCUGUCCUUUUCUUUGAAGUAUUUGCCUUAUUCGUUUUCAGAUCAUCGACCCAUUUUGAUUGACACUGAUUGACCUUUUCGAUAUUGGAUGCGUUCUUUCCAUUUCGCGCAUGGUGGGUUCUGGAGGAUUCUUGUGAAUUUGAGAUUCGUCAGCUCUGGGAUAGUACUGAGGGUUGUGUUCCUCAUCGUUUGGCACUGCUUUGUUAGGGGCUGAAGGGCUGGGCUGCUAGGUUGCAGGGUGGUCAGGGUGGUUGGAUUCGGACUUUACGUGACAGACUCUAGACUUUUAAUAUGGUAGAUCGAAUGGAUAAUAAUUUGAUGGAGCUACUACAACCUCGUUUAGAGAUGAAUUUGAAGAUUGAUGAGACAUAAUUGUUUUGGGAACAGAGAGCUCGGGCUAAUUGACUAAAACUAGGGGAUCGAAACACAUGUUUUUUCCAUCGGUUUGCAAUGCAGCGUUGGAGGAUUAACAGAGUGCAUUGUUUGAUUUCGGAUGAUGGUACCUUGGUCCGUGCAGAGGAGAGGUUAUGUGGUAUGGCAACCGACUACUUUCAGCAUCUGUUUACUUUUCAAGGAUUAGGGAUCCAUGACGCAUUCUAAAGGGGGUUGAUUCGUGUGUUACUACGGCUAUGAAUGCCUUGUUAGUGGUGCCUUUUACGUAUGAUGACAUCCAUGAGGCAUUACAGGCAAUGGCUUCAACCAAAACCUCAAGCCCUGAUGGGCUUCCGGUGCUGUUCUAUCAAAAGUAUUGGCAUAUUAUUGGUCAGGACAUUAAUAUUUACUGUCUUAAUGUUUUACAUGGUGGAACGUCUCUGGCUGAUAUAAAUAACACCAACAUUGUGCUGAUUCUUAAAAUUACGAAUCCCAUACGGAUAACUUAGUUCCACCCUAUUAGCCUUUGUUCCAUCCUUUAUAAGAUCAUUUCCAAGUUUCAGUCUGUAUUGCACUUGUGUGUGGAUAAAGCACAGAUCACUUUUGUUUCGAGUCGUCUGAUUACGAAUAAUAUUAUUUUGGCUUACGAGAUCCUUGAUAAGUUUGAAUGUAAAAAAAAGGGGUUUGAAUUGAAAUUUUGUCCUGAAAUUGGAUAGGAACAAGGCAUAAGACUGUGUUCAAUGUGAUUUUUUAGAAGCAAUGAUGUUGCGUAUGGGAUUUGCAACACCUUGGAUCAAUCUCAUUAUGCACUGCGUUAAUUCUGUCUCCUAUUCAGUUCUUUUGAAUGGUGAUAUGGGUCCUUCUUUUGUUCCGGCCAAAGGACUCUGAUAGGGAGACCCUUUUAGCCCGUACUUGUUCUUUCUCUGUUGCGAGGGUUUGUCUUCUCUCAUGCGAUCUGCACUUUGGGAUGGUUUGGUUGAGGGGCCAACUAUUAGUUAGGGGUCCUCAAAUAUCCCAUCUAUUGUUUGCAGAUGACUGCAUCCUAUUUGGGUGAGCGACCAAGGAGGGGGCAUUGGUAAUGAAACAGAUUUUAUACGACUAUGAGCGUUCCUCUGAUCAAUGUGUGAAAUUUGAUAAGUAAGUAUCAAUUCCAGUUCGAACGUUAAGGAAUCACUCGAGGUUCGGAUCGCGACCUCUUUAGGGGUCCGUGUUUCUACAAAGCCAGAGCGGUAUCUGGGUUUGCCAAAUAUCAUUGGAAGAAAUAAAAAAAUGAGCAUUUCAGCAUUUGAAAGAUCGAUUGCGGAAUAUGAUUGAGAAUUAGUGUAUACGACCUUUCUCUCAUGGUUGGAAAAAUGUCUUUAUUAAGAGUGUUUUGCAUGCUAUUCCCACUUUUGCUAUGUCGUGUUUCUUACUUCCAGUUUCUUUUUGUUCGGGCUUGGAGAGAAUUAUUGGCCGGUUUUGGUGGAAGAAUCAUUGUAGGCGUAGGGGCAUCCAUUGGUGUGAUUAGUCCGUUCUGUGUAAUUCUAUGGAUUUAGGCAGAAUGGGUUUUCGAUAGUUAACACAGUUUAAUAUUGUUCUUUUGGCCAAGCAAUGUUGGCAUUUAUUUAGUAAUCCGAAUAAUUUAGUUGGGUGUGUUCUUAAACAAAAA